rnacentral:lncRNA from 1 species
CUUCACGUUCGGCUGCCGAAGGUGGUCUGGCCAGCCACCUAUAAAAGGGCCAAGGGUCGGUGGAAGGAGGUUAUUUCUCCUCCACUUGCAGCCAGAGGUGAGUUUCAGCCUCUCCUACGUUGACUUUCAUGUUUUCCAUGAUUUUCAUCAAAGCUUUCAAGAGUUUUAAGAUUUUUGGUGACUUAUGAAGGUUUUGAGCAAAAGAAGC